UACGUAGGUUGUGAGCGUUAUUCGGAUUUACUGGGCGUAAAGAGCACCGAGGUGGCUUCUUAAGUUGGAUGUGAAAUCUCCCGGCUUAACUGGGAGGCGCCAUUCAAAACUGGGGAGCUUGAGGUCAGCAGGGGAAAGUGGAAUUCCCGGUGUAGUGGUGGAAUGCGUAGAGAUCGGGAGGAACACCAGUGGCGAAAGCGACUUUCUGGGCUGCACCUGACACUCUAGUGCGAAAGCGUGGGGAGCAAACAGG
rnacentral:rRNA from 1 species